rnacentral:rRNA from 1 species
AUGCUGAAUGAGGAGGAAUUUGAAACAGCAUGGGAGGCGCUGCUAGAUAAGUACAGCUUGAGGAGCCAUAGCUACAUGACCCAAAUAUAUGAGACUAGGCGGAAGUGGGAAAAACCUUAUUUCAGAGGAGUGUUCUACGCAAAAAUGACAAGCACGCAAAGGAGUGAGAGUGCAAACCACAUGUUGAAGUCUUACAUGACACCAGCAAGCCCAAUGCACGUGUUUGUCAGGAAAUACAUGAAGCUACAGUUUGACCGCGAGGGCGACGAAAGCUACGAGGAAAAGAGGACGAUGAUAGGCGGUGCAGUGAGGCGGACUAAUCUCGCAAUAGAGCGACAUGCCAGCAAGGUGUACACCAGGAACAUGUUUGAGGAAUUCGGGCGUUUACUCAUGGAAGGAACUGCAUACAAUGUUACAGAGGUGGAAAGGAUGAGGAAAUACAGGACCACCCACAAUAAUGCAGCAAAAAGGGAAAAGUGGAGUAGGGUCGAGUACGAGGUGACCAUCAACAAAGACAGAUCGAUAUUCAAUUGCGAGUGCGGGCAGUUUGAUCACACAGGGAUGCUUUGCAGCCAUGUGUUGAGG